UACGAGGGGUGCAAGCGUUGCUCGGAAUUAUUGGGCGUAAAGGGUAGGUAGGUGGUCUCGUUUGUCUGGGGUGAAAGCCUUGAGCUUAACUCAAGAAGUGCCCUAGAAACGGCGAGACUGGAGUCCUGGAGAGGGUCGUGGAAUUCCCGGUGUAGCGGUGAAAUGCGUAGAGAUCGGGAGGAACACCAGAGGCGAAGGCGGCGACCUGGACAGGUACUGACACUCAACUACGAAAGCGUGGGGAGCGAACAGG
rnacentral:rRNA from 1 species